GACAGAGGAGCCAAGCGUUGUCCGGAUUGACUGGGCGUAAAGCGCACGCAGGCGGUCGCGCGCGUGGGGUGUGAAAUCUGGCCGCUUAACGGCCAGGCGCCAUCCCAUACGGCGCGACUGGAGUGAUGCAGAGGUCGAUGGAAUUGCCGGUGUAGUGGUGAAAUGCGUAGAGAUUGGCAGGAACACCCAGGGGGAAACCAGUCGACUGGGCAUCUACUGACGCUGAGGUGCGAGAGCGUGGGGAGCGAACCGG
rnacentral:rRNA from 1 species